UUGAAAGGGAAACGAUUGAAGUCAGUCGUACCGGUGGGUAAUCAGCCUUUCGGCGUGAUUAUGUGGAGCGUGAGGAGUCAAACGCCCUCAUGCCUGCAUAUUCGUGUUCUUUGGGUGUACUUACCCGCAUGGUAGGUUAACAUCAAUUUCGAACGUCAUAAAAUGGUUGGAGGAAUGUAGCUUCGAUCUCGUAUUGAAGUGUUAUAGACUCCGGCAGAUGUGAUGAUCGGGAUUGAGGAUUGCAACGGAUUCCUUCGGGGCUACCCGUCUGAUCUCUGAAAGUUACUCUGGUGCCGAAAGCUCGCUUACGGUCAUCAAAGUUGACGUUCAACAGAUUAGAACGGGAUAAAUUCGUUAAGGAUGUUGACGUA
rnacentral:rRNA from 1 species